rnacentral:rRNA from 1 species
UGAUUCCUACGGGGGGCAGCAGUAGGGAAUUUUCGUCAAUGGGCGCAAGCCUGAACGAGCAAUGCCGCGUGAACGAGGAAGGUCUUCGGAUCGUAAAGUUCUGUUGAAGGGGAAAAAGAGCGGAGAGAGGAAAUGCUUUCUGAUUGAUAUUACCCUUCGAGGAAGUCACGGCUAACUACGUACCAGCAGCCGCGGUAAUACGUGGGUGGGGAGCGUUAUCCGGAAUGAUUGGGCGUAAAGGGUGCGUAGGCCGCCUGCUAAGU